rnacentral:rRNA from 1 species
CCCGCUGAACUUAAGCAUAUCAAUAAGCGCAGGAAAAGAAACCAACAGGGAUUGCCUCAGUAACGGCGAGUGAAGCGGCAACAGCUCAAAUUUGAAAUCUGGCCUCUCGGGGUCCGAGUUGUAAUUUGUAGAGGAUGUUUUGGGUACCGCCCCGGUUUAAAUUUCUUGGAACAGAAUGUCAAAGAGGGUGAGAAUCCCGUCUUGGACCGGCGGUAGGGCCUAUGUAAAACUCCUUCGACGAGUCGAGUUGUUUGGGAAUGCAGCUCAAAAUGGGUGGUAAAUUUCAUCUAAAGCUAAAUAUUGGCCAGAGACCGAUAGCGCACAAGUAGAGUGAUCGAAAGAUGAAAAGCACUUUGAAAAGAGAGUUAAACAGUAUGUGAAAUUGCUGAAAGGGAAACGCUUGAAGUCAGUCGCGUUGUUCAGGAUUCAGCCUUGCUUCCGCUUGGUGUACUUCCUGUUCGACGGGUCAGCAUCAGUUUUGGCCAGUGGAUAAAGGCCCAGAGAAUGUGGCAUCCUCGGAUGUGUUAUAGCUUUGGGUCGCAUACAUUGGCUGGGACUGAGGAACUCAGCACGCCGAAAGGCCAGGUUUCGACCAUGUACGUGCUUAGGAUGCUGGCAUAAUGGCUUUAAUCGACCCGUCUUGAAACACGG